rnacentral:rRNA from 1 species
GAUGAACGCUGGCGGCGUGCCUAAUACAUGCAAGUCGAGCGAACGGACGAGAAGCUUGCUUCUCUGAUGUUAGCGGCGGACGGGUGAGUAACACGUGGAUAACCUACCUAUAAGACUGGGAUAACUUCGGGAAACCGGAGCUAAUACCGGAUAAUAUUUUGAACCGCAUGGUUCAAAAGUGAAAGACGGUCUUGCUGUCACUUAUAGAUGGAUCCGCGCUGCAUUAGCUAGUUGGUAAGGUAACGGCUUACCAAGGCAACGAUGCAUAGCCGACCUGAGAGGGUGAUCGGCCACACUGGAGCUGAGACACGGUCCAGACUCCUACGGGAGGCAGCAGUAGGGAAUCUUCCGCAAUGGGCGAAAGCCUGACGGAGCAACGCCGCGUGAGUGAUGAAGGUCUUCGGAUCGUAAAACUCUGUUAUUAGGGAAGAACAUAUGUGUAAGUAACUGUGCACAUCUUGACGGUACCUAAUCAGAAAGCAACGGCUAACUACGUG